rnacentral:rRNA from 1 species
CCUACGGGUGGCAGCAGUGAGGAAUAUUGGUCAAUGGACGCAAGUCUGAACCAGCCAUGUCGCGUGCAGGAUGACGGCCCUACGAGUUGUAAACUGCUUUUGUACGGGGGUAAACGCAGAUACGCGUAUCUGUCUGUAAGUACCGUAUGAAUAAGGAUCGGCUAACUCCGUGCCAGCAGCCGCGGUAAUACGGAGGAUUCAAGCGUUAUCCGGAUUUAUUGGGUUUAAAGGGUGCGUAGGUGGUCGGAUAAGUUAGAGGUGAAAUCCCGAGGCUCAACUUCGGAAUUGCCUUUGAUACUGGUCGGCUAGAGAGUAGUUGCGGUAGGCGGAAUGUGUGGUGUAGCGGUGAAAUGCUUAGAGAUCAUACAGAACACCGAUUGCGAAGGCAGCUUACCAAGCUACUUCUGACAUUGAGGCACGAAAGCGUGGGGAGCAAACAGGAUUAGAUACCCUGGUAGUC